AUUGAACGCUGGCGGCAGGCCUAACACAUGCAAGUCGAGCGGAUGAAGGGAGCGUUUUCUUGUAUUCCGCUGCGGGCGGGCGUGUAAUGCCCAGGAAGCUGCCCGGCAGCUAAGGCUAAGGUCCCUACACGGACCCUAAUACCGCACACGUCCUGAUGUAGAAAGUGGUGGAUCUUCGGAGCUCACGCUGUUAGCUGAGCCUAAGUGGUGUUAGCUAGUUGGUGGGGUAAAGGCCUACCAAGGCGACGAUCCGUAACUGGUCUGAGAGGAUGAUCCGUCACACUGGAACUGAGACACGGUCCAGACUCCUACGGGAGGCAGCAGUGGGGAAUCUUGGGCAAUGGGCGAAAGCCUGAUGCAGCCACGCCGCGUGUGUGAAGAAGGUCUUCGGAUUGUAAAGCUCUGUAAGUGGGGAGGAAGAACAGUGGAUGUAAACCUGCCCGUUUUGACGUUACCUACUGAGAAAGCAACGGCUAACUUCGUG
rnacentral:rRNA from 1 species